ACAAAGUAUUGGGGCACCCAGGAGGGUGCACAAGGAAAGCAGCCAUUUACUGGUACUGUUAUUUGCACUGUGAUUUGGUACCUAGCUGGUCUGGGAAUACUGGCACCAAGGACCAGACAGUGGUUUGGACUUCUUUUAGUUAGGGAAAAAAAAGCCAACCAAGACUGUGUGCAAGGCAGUUUCUGAGCAAAGGAAUCACGAGCACCUGCUCUGGCUCUGCCCUCCCUUCUCCUACCACACUGGCUGUGACUGUGCCUCUGCACAGGCAUCCGAUGGAGCUGGCAUCUCAUGUUUUAGAGAAUAAACACAAGUAAAGGCAUCCUGGAUAAUAUCACUCAGAUAGCACCGAUUCAACUCCUGACCUGGCAGACAGUGCUGGGUGUCCCACCGUGCUCCAUUGAGUGCACUAAGCCUCACAUAAGCCCACUAAGCCACUGGGCUACUUUGGCUGGCUACGCUGAGCUGCUGGAGUAACCACACUGCUCCUGGGAUCCUACCCCAAAGGGGAUUGCUCCAGCCAACCCUGGAAGUCGGGAUGCCUCGGACAUGCCAUGAAGAAGCAGAGCUUGAGGGAGAUGCACAGCAUGUAGUGCCACGCUGCGGUCGCAGUUGCUGAGUGUCCGUGGGCUAGAAGCCUCUUGGGGUAUCACAACAACCCUCUCAAGAUGACUGUGCUGGAGCGCUAUGACUGAAUCAAGAUGAACAGACUCAGCCUCUCAGCCAGUUUGGAAACUGAGGCACAAAGAAAAGUGACUCACUCCAUAGCUAACUACCAGAAACUGUUCUAAGGGAUAGAAGCCUUGCAAGAAAAUGCAAUUUUUCAUUGAGCAAGAGGAGCUGACACAAGUACCCACUGUAUCCGUGAAAAGUUGACAGUGUUACAGAAUGAAGGCUGUGAAAACUGUCCCUGUGAAUAUCGGUGGAGACCACAUUUUGAGAGCAGCCAAUGCCUUCCCCUGCAGAGCUGAGCAGAGUCCGGUUGUAGCAGAUCUGCAAGUUUGCUGGUGAAAAUAGUCACUGCCUUAACAAUGUAUUUUUGCACUUUCAAUCAUCAGCUUUAGCUGUGCCACUCUCUGCAGUGGCACUGUCCAACUGUGGGCAACAGAGUUAAAGAAGAGUUGCCUGUGGUGACAGCUUUGUUUAAAGUUGUUUAUUCUGUAGAGUUUCUUGUUCUUUCUCCUAAUUCAAAAAUACCUUUGCCUAGAGAUUUUUUCAGUAAGUAAAUACCAUUUCCAACCAAGGAAAAGCAGCUGCAAAUGGAUCAGGUGCUGCACGUCUUAGGGAGAAAAGCUCAGCAGUGUCCAGCCCAGAUCUCACCUGGAUUCACUGUGAUCCUCCAAAAGGGCUGGGUAGCUCUGGAAAAGAAGAGUAUGAUUAAACCUUCCUGUGAUUGGUUCUUCCACUGUAAAA